UCACUUCUCAUCUAGCACCACCUACUGCCCACGGCGCGCAGGGCCCGGCGCCGCUGCCCAGCCCCGGCUGGAGGAGCGCGGGGAGCCGCGGAGCUGGGCACGGGUCCGCACCGUCACCGAGCUGGGCACGGGCCCGUAUCCUCACCGAGCUGGGCACGGGCCCCUUCCCACACCGAGCUGGGCACGGGCCCGCACCGUCACCGAGCUGGGCACGGGCCCGUAUCCUCACCGAGCUGGGCACGGGCCCCUUCCCACACCGAGCUGGGCACGGGCCCGCACCGUCACCGAGCUGGGCACUGGCCCGUACCCUCACCGAGCUGGGCACGGGCCCCUUCCCACACCGAGCUGGGCACGGGCCCUUGCCCGCACCGAGCCCGUCGCCGCCUCAACACCUGCUCGAACUUUGCGCGGUUAUCCAGAGGCAUCCAUAUUCCAAAGACUGCUCCGGCAGAGUUACAAGGAAAAAGCUCCUGUGUUUCCAGCAGAUUUCUCUGCUCGUACUUGAAGUUGCUGUCACCUUUGGCUCUGCCUCCCUGGUGCCACAAGGGUGAUUAUAACUAUCGAUAUGCAUCCCCCACUCUUUUAAAUGAAGACUAAUGGUUUAAAGUAAUGGCUGCUGCCACUUCUUCCAGCAGAAUUAGAGCAGAACAUCACAGGUAGGUCACUAAGUCUUCUAAACAAGGGAAUCUUUGAGAGUAUACAUCACAGGAGCUCAGGAUAUAUUGAUUUUACCUGAAUCAUGUUGACACUCAGCUCUCCUCUGUCCAAAAUCUCUGUUCACUCACAGUUAAACUUUAAAUUAGGCAACUAAUGAUAAACAUAUGAUGAUGGACACUGUGGAAAAGGAAGUUAUAAAUGAAAAAGGAAAACUACACUUGUAAAGUGGCAACAUUGCCAUAUCAGAUGCUUCCUUUCUGCAACCUAUAUGAAUAUUUGGUCUUUUCUCCCACAAUAUUGUCACCACUGAAAUAAGCAGUGUUGCCAAAGGACAAAAAUAGCAACAUAAGGCAAGCUAGAAGAAGUGAUUUCUAGGUAAUGCUUCUGAGAAAGAUAGGCUGCCUUAGCAAACUAAAGGAAAAGGAAACUUCAAACCCAGUGCAUUAGGAGAAAGAUGUAAGUUUACAAAUGCCUUUUCAAGCAAAAGGGUUGUUUGAGCUAUUACAGAGACCAAACAUGAAAAGAAGUAAAAGGUGAAAACUGAAAUGAAAGCUGUAUCAUAACUGUUUAAAAACCUUUAGAUUAGACUUAACUGAAAGGUGAAGAUCUAUAUGGCUGGAUAAUCAAGUCUCCUAAGGAAGGAAAUUAAACUGAUGGAAUAGCAGCAGGUCAUAAUACUUCUUUUCUGCUGGCUUCUAUCUAUUGACUAAAGUAGAUUUGUCCUUCCUAUGGGAAUCUAAAAAGCCUGAAAAGCACAAGGAGAAAUUAAGAAGUAGUUGUACUUGCUAGCAUUCUAUCUAAUUGCCUGCAAACUGACAUUUUUCAUCCACAGCAACUGUAUGGUUUAAGCACACUUAGAAGCUCUCAAAAAAAAAAAAAAGGUAAAAAUGUGACUUUUCCAAGGGGUAUUUUAGGCAACAAAAAUGGAAAGAAGCAAAGUCAAAUUUACAGUAUCUGCAAACCCCUCUUAUCGAUUAUAUUCUUCCUAAUCAGCUGGUGCACCUUCUCAAUGGAAGAAGCUAGACAUCUAGGUUAUGCUAAAUCCAUGUUGAAAAUACUAGAAAUCUUGCCUGACAAAAAUCCCAAGGAGGUAUUUGGAUGUAAAAUAUGUAAAUAUGGUUGCAAAGUCUGUGAGCUGUUACAGAGGAGAUGGGCAUUUGGGGAAAGCCAAACACAGAAAAAGCACAUUUAGUGCUAUAAUAGGGAUCUUGUUACUUAUAAAAACUAUUAAAAAUUCUUUUCACUGGAAGAGGUUUCAAUGACAAAAAAACAUUUUUCAACCUUUUUAAGUG